GCAAGUCGAACGCGAAAGCAUCCUUCGGGGUGUGAGUAAAGUGGCGAACUGGUGAGUAACAGGUGGGUAAUGUGCCUCCGAGCGGGCAUAACCUUUGGAAACAAAGGAUAAUACCGCAUAUGGCUUGGGAAUCGUUGGUUUCCCAGGUUAAAGGUGCGCUUCGGCGUGCCGCUUGGAGAGUAGCCCGCCCCCGAUUAGCUAGUUGGUGGGGUAAUGGCCUACCAAGGCGACGAUCGGUAGGUGGCCUGAGAGGGUGGUC
rnacentral:rRNA from 1 species